UACGUAGGGUGCGAGCGUUGAUCGGAAUUACUGGGCGUAACGCGUGCGCAGGCGGUUUUGUCAGCCCUAUGUGAAAUCCCCGGGCUCAACCUGGGAAUGGCAUUUGGGACUGCAAGGCUGGAGUGCGGCAGAGGAGACUGGAAUUCCUGGUGUAGCAGUGAAAUGCGUAGAUAUCAGGAGGAAUACCGCUGGCGAAGGCAGGUCUCUGGGCUGACACUGACGCUCAUGCACGAAAGCGUGGGGAGCAAACAGG
rnacentral:rRNA from 1 species